AUUGAACGCUGGCGGCAGGCCUAACACAUGCAAGUCGAACGGUAACAGGGAGAUGCUUGCUUCUUUCCUGACCGGUGGGGGGCGGGAGAGCAAGGAAUGUGACACUUCGUGAGGGAGGAGGUUCGGUACUGGACACGGUUACUACUACCGCAUAACGUGGGAAAAUCAAAGAGGGGGGCCUUCGGGGCUAUCACAUUCGCCUAGGCCUAGUUGGGAUUAGCUAGUAGGUGGGGUAAAGGCUGACCUAGGCGACGAUCCGUAGCUGGUCUGAGAGGAUGAACAGUCACACUGGAACUGAGACACGGUCCAGACUCCUACGGGAGGCAGCAGUGGGGAAUAUUGGACAAUGGGCGAAAGCCUGAUGCAGCCAUGCCGCGUGUAUGAAGAAGGCCUUCGGGUUGUAAAGUACUUUCAGCGGGGAGGAAGGGAGGAAAGUUAAUACCUUUACGCAUUGACGUUACCCGCAGAAGAAGCACCGGCUAACUCCGUG
rnacentral:rRNA from 1 species